rnacentral:rRNA from 1 species
UCAAAUGAAUUGACGGGGAGCACCACAACGGGUGGAGCUUGCGGUUUAAUUGGAUUCAACGCCGGAAAUCUUACCGGGACCGACAGCAAUAUGAAGGCCAGGCUGAAGACUUUGCCGGAUUAGCUGAGAGGUGGUGCAUGGCCGUCGUCAGUUCGUACUGUGAAGCAUCCUGUUAAGUCAGGCAACGAGCGAGACCCACGCCCACAGUUGCCAGCGUACUCUCUGGAGUGACGGGUACACUGUGGGGACCGCCGCUGCUAAAGCGGAGGAAGGAAUGGGCAACGGUAGGUCAGUAUGCCCCGAAUAUCCCGGGCUACACGCGAGCUACAAUGGUUGGUACAAUGGGUAUCUACCCCGAAAGGGGACGGGAAUCUCCUAAAACCAAUCUUAGUUCGGAUUGAGGGCUGCAACUCGCCCUCAUGAAGCUGGAAUCCGUAGUAAUCGCGUUUCAACAGAACGCGGUGAAUACGUCCCUGCUCCUU